GGCCAAAUCCAGUCCAUUGCACACUUUGCAAAUAGAAUUUUAUUGGAAAACAGUCACACCCAUACAUUCGUGUAUUGUCUGUGGCUGCUUUUGUGCUAAAACAGCCGAACAGAGUAGCUGCAACAGGGACCAUAAGGCUCAUAAAGCCCAAAUGAUUUACUGCCUGGCCCUUUACAGCAAAGCUUGCCGACUGGUGGUUUGAGUGUAAUCCAGCAUGUAAGUAAAAACCUGACGACAGCCUUCUGAUCCUCUCCAGAAAGGUACAGGAGGUGAGAUCUGGAUAUCCGGAGAUUCAUCCAGGGAGUGAAGAUGAGCCCAGCAAGGUGUGAGAAAUUUCUCUCGCUUAGGGAGCUCUGCUUUCUGGCCCAGCCCUGAUUGUAACUUAUGGAAUUUUUCUUUCAUAAGAAGAGAAGUCACUGAACUGAAAUGUCUGUUUUUGCUUGCAAAUCUCUGUGAGAAUUCUCCAAGGUCUCUUUCCCUUUCUUUGCCCUCUGGGAGCGCGGAUCAAGUUCACUCUAGAAGAAUCUCUUUGAAACCCUCCCUUGAGCAGGUUGACCAGUUGCUUCAAUAGAAAUAUACCAAUAGCAGCAAAACACAAUAUUUGGAUUGGAUCUGAUGUGAUUAUUUAUUCCAGGAACAAGUCGUGUUUAUGAUUCCAAUCAUUUGAAUAAUGGAUUGACAUCAUUUCUAGCUAAAUGGAGAUUAUCUGGCCAUUUGCCAAAGCUAAGCCUCAGCUCCGGGGAGGAACACCUGGACCCGGCUGUAGGUGCAUGAGCUUCCAGAUGGAAACAGACUCUCUGUGUCUGCACAAGACAAACUCUCUUUACCCCUGCUUUUCCUCUGCCCUCAUACCAGAAGAACAAUCAUCACUGCACAGGAACAUUUCUGUGACCCCAACUUGAAGCUGGCCGACCUGCUUCAAGUUGGGGUUCCUGUGGGGAUCGCUCCCAUGUGAGGCCCCUAGGAAAUGGGCCUCGCAAUACGGUGAGCUUGAGCCCGGACACAGAUCCCCGGUUGGGGGAGUCGAGCUGAGGGAAAGCAGGAACCAAGAGAGGGACUAUGUUAUUCUAAAUAAUUAACAGACAUUACUUUAUGGAUAUGAGGACUUGGGAGGCAAUGUGUCCACUUUUGGCUUCUUAUGGUUUAUUGCUUGAUUGUGUUCAUUUUGGACCCUUGUUACCUUCAUUGUAAAAUAUUAACUUAAGUAUUUACACUUGGUAACUUACUUAUUGUAACUUACUGGGUGUAACUGUAACUUACUUACCAUAACUUACUGGGCGUGACUGUAACUUACUUACCUUCACUUAUUGGGCGUAACCUACUUACUGGAAGUAACCUACUUACUGGGCGUAACCUACUUACUGGACUUAACUUACUUAGUGGGCGUAACUUGCUUACUGUAACUUAAGUACAUUGAUCUGGCGUAAACAACUUUGACUUCAGAAAAGUAUAUAAUGAAACGUAUUGCAAAAAUAAAAUUGCUGCUUGGACACAGCCUAAGCCAGCCCUCCA